GUUCAAAUUGGAAACUGAUGUCCUUCAUGAGGACUGUAAACCUUAGUUUCUUUUUGUAUUAGUUAUUUCCUCUCAAUAUUAUAUUGACGCUUUUUUAAAAAUAAAUAAAUUAGUUGAAAGAGGUUUUAAGUUCAAAUUGUUACUCUCAAUUGCUAAAACGAAGUACUCAUUAAAUAGUGAAACUCAUGAAAGGCAAAUAUAGCUGCUUCUGGGCAGUUUUAUUACUUGAAUCGCAAUCAAAUUAUCAACACCAAAAUCCUGAAUUUAAAGAAGAAAUUAACAAUAAAUCAUAUCGUACUACACCCAAUUGGCUUCUGUGUGUAUCCAGGCCAACUCCUCAUCUAUUUACAGUACUGAAGUAGGCAUACUCAAAUUCAAAACUUGCUUUUCUUGCACGCAGAAAAACAAUCACAAUCACAAGAGAGAACGGUAGGAAUUAUGGGGGAAGUAAGAGACUAUGAUGGGAGCUCCCGACGACGACGACGACGAUGAUUUUGAUUUGCUUUUCUUGGAUUCCUUUAAAGAAGUAGCUUUUGCACUGCCUCCUGCAUCAUCUGAGACCUGUGAGUUUGACAAUGGCAUGAAGCAAUUGAGAAUGGGCGAAAAGAUAGCCAUUUGUUUGUAAGAAUAGUGGAAAGUGGUGAAGGCUGAUUGUGUGGGUUUAUUUAGACUUGAGCGGACAUGAUCAGGAUAAAUGUCGUCCUAUAUUUAUAGUGAAAUAGAAAUGAGACUUUUUCAUCAAAAAAAAUAAAUGAGACUUUGUCAAUUAUCUUGGAGGCGAAGGAAGAUUUCAAGACCAUAGAUUCAUUAAUUUUACAUCGAUGGUUCCGUGUUCCUUCAUAUAAUGCACGCGGCCUCUUUGACCAGUGUUGAAAUUUCAAGUUAACCUCAAGCAAGAUAUUUUGUUCCCCAUAUUUUAUUUGACAUCUUUUUGUUUUGAGUGCUGCUAAACGAAACUUAAAAAUUAACUGAAUACACUCUACUAUCAAACUAUUUAUUGAAUUACUACUUUAUCCUAAUAUAAAAUGACCAAAAAAGAUAUAUUAAAUUGUGAAACAAAUAUAAUUUUAAUAAGUACACCCUACUUGCCACAUAUUCAACCAUAAUCAAAUAGCGAGCACUAGCGGAGUGGCAAGGAGGUGUCGUUGAAUGUUCGAAGGUCUUGCGCUGAAUUAUUGUCUUGCCAUGAAACUUGUAAGAGUCUAUUUCUCUGCUCUAUUUAUCUGAUAAACUUGAAUUAUUGUCUUCCCUCCACGAUUCCUUAUUGUAGAUGAUGAUUAACAACAUAUUGAAAAUAAAGACAAGGAUACUGAUGAUGUUGUACAAGAAACGGGAAGAUGAUUUUCUAGAGACGUGGUUGUGGUUGCAAUUGAGGUGAUAUUUUAUUUGGUUCAGUUAAUUUUGUGGUUUUUGUGCAGGUACGACUUUGGCAUUUGAGGUAUACUAGCUAUUAGCUUAAUGAAACACUUUGGCAUUUGGUUCCUUUCACUUUGUGGUUGCGGGAGGAACCGACUAUUGGUGGGAUAUGUUUCUCUUUUUUCUCUCCAAAGGCUGUCGAUUUUGUUUCUUUACUUUGUGUGAUGGAGUGUAUUAGGGUGUACUAAUGGUAUUUUUAGUAGUUACAUAGGGUGUACUUAAUUAAUUUUAUAUUUUUAUUAAAAUAUUAGGAUGUACUUAGAUCAUAAGGUGUACUCAGUUAAUUUUAGGGUUCGUUUAACAACACUUUUUUGUUUUUUGUUUUAUAAUAAAAACAAUUAAUUAGAGAAGCAACGUGAAAAUUCUAGACCAGGAUCUGCUUAUUUUUAAUCUUCAUAAUCAUUAUUCUUCGUAUAUUUUAAAAAAUCAUUAUUCUUAAAUUUCCUAUAUAAAAAAGGCACUAGGUUUCUUCUUCUUUUGUUUUUUUUCCCCUCACUUUUGAGUGUUAUUAUUUACUAGCCUCUCUGCACGCGCUUUCGCGCUUGCGAGAGGCAUUUUUUUAAAAAAAAUUUAAAAUUUUUUUAGAAUUAAAAAGUGUUCCAUAAAAAUAGGAUCCAUUAUUUUUUUUAUUUAAUUUUAAUUUUUUAUAAAAAGUGUGAAUUUACCAUAUUAUCCUUAUUUAAUUAAUAAGUUUAGUUCUUAAUGUUUGCAUUAACCAAGGAUAUUUUCUGGUAUUUUGAAUGUUUCACCAUUCUCUGCCUUUUGCUUUAUAUAUAUAGAUUAUAUUUAUUUUGGAGCAUUUACUAAUAAUUGCGAGGUCUCUAAUGUAAAAUAUUUAUAUAAUAUUAUGAAAAGAAUCUAAAAUCCAUCCAAUAUUCCUUAAACUGAAGUUGCCCUUAUAGAAAAAGCCUUUUGUUUUUAUUAUUCGUGUAACCUUCUCUAUUGUUGAAAAAAGAAGAAGUGAACAUUUGGAUGUUCGCUUCUCAAUUAUUGUUCCAGUGAUCUUCCAAGAAGCCGGCGGUUUUUGUGCUAUCAAAAUUCUCAGAAUUCAGUCAAAUGAACUAAAAUAAAAUCAUGUAAAUUUCUAAAAAGGCUCUCUAAAUACUGACGUUUCAGGUUGUGGACGCAAUGAAAUGGACUAGUUUAGAAUCUUAAUUUUAAUACACCACAAUAUGUGUGGGAGAUAAGAAGCUUGCAGAGCAGGAGGAAAUGCACUUCCAAGUGUUCCAAUAUUAGUUGACGACACAUAUAUUUUAAGAAUCAAACGUCACGCCUUUCAGGUCCAUCAAGAGGUACCUAGGUAGCUACAUGUAGUGAAGGAUUUAAGAAUCUUAUCUCAUAGGGUUAUACUGUAAAAGUUCAAAACAAAAAAAAAAUAUUGAAAAUGAAACGAUAGUACUUUCAUUCAUAAUUCAUGUCAAAAAUAACAUUACAAGCUAUAAUUGUCCACAAUAAGGUUUAAUAUUUUGAAAACGUAGCAUCAUAGCUUCAUUCUCAAUUCAAGCAAAAACAUCCCUCUCAAUGUAAACAAAGCAAACUAUCACUCAAUCAUUGAUCUCCCAUUUUGUUUCCAAGUGGACCUUAAUAAUAUUUAUGAUGGAAAAUACCCUCUCGACUGAAGCAGUUGCAAACAGUAAAACUAAAGCCAAUGUAAUAAGGAAAUACACAUAAUUGAAUACUUAAUGCAUUCUUAUCUCCACUAUUUUUUUUAUCACAAGCGAUAGAAAUAUAAAACAACCAACCAAUAUAUAUGAUCACAAGCGAGAGAGAUAAGAGUUACUGGGGAAGUAAGAGACUACUUGUUUAUACCAAAAUAAACGGCCUAUUACCACCGAACGCGUGGAGGGGAUCGAUACUGAUCAAUGGACCCCUUCGGCAUGCUCCCUACCGAAGCCAUCUAUCUUGGCCUCUUUCACCAUCAGAUACGUGCCAUGCUCACAAUCCAUGCCCAGAGUCCCACAUCGGAAAUAUGAGCACAGUGCACACCUCCCAAGGCCUAUAAAAGGAGACCCAUAUCCCCAAAAUGAGGGGAUCAGAACUAACGGUACGCUAUCGUGUGAUCUAUCAGUUAAACCUUACUAAAUCCGUACUUACUUAAGCAUCGGAGAGCCUUCGGCCGGUACCACACCGGUACCCAAGGAUUUACCGAACGUGACCUUUUGUAGGUACUUACCUUUCUGCCGUAGAACAUCUACCGAGGAUAGUCAUUUACCGAAGGCCUAAAUCACUAAGUUGACGAAAUACGUGCAGAACCACUUUUUCGCAUCAACAGUUUGGCGCCGUCUGUGGGAAAUCAAAGAAUUAUCAACCCACUAUCUCCUAAACACAUGGGGACCACUUCAAUACCUACGUUCUUAACGGAGGAGGGAGGACCGUUCAGAAGGCAAAGCGGAGCUAGCCCAGCGCUACCUCCAGGCACUCCCUUCGGAAAUGCUCCCGCUACCCAAACAACCGCCGAAGCCGAGCUGGCAGCCCAAAUCGCAACCUUACGGAGGGAAAUGGCGAGGCUUCAGGAACACAACAACUUUCUUUCGUCCAAGGUGGACGAAACCCAGCAGCUGCUCCACCAGCAGCACCCGCAGAACAUCCAGAUAACUCACUCUUCCGAAAGUCUGCAGACCCCUCACGGGAGGAAGAAACGCGAUAAGGCAGCAAUGGCAACGCCCGCUCCUUCCAAACAAUUGGUGGUCCCGCCACCCAGGGAUCAGCCACAGGUCCCGAAGAAGGUCUACACCGAUUGUCGACAUCGGAUCAAUGAUCGAGAGGCAGAGAGACAGAGGUCUCCGAUCAGGAUGAACGCCCGAUUAAAGGAUUCACGGAUGAGGGUCCUGGGAGACAAGUCGCCCAUUCGGAAAGUGAGGGGGUUGGGCCCCGAAGAGGAGUCGGAAUCCGAAUACAUCCCGUCCGGGACGCAAACGUCCACCUACCGUUCGGCAACACAUUCGCGGAACUCGGAGGUUAACCCAUUCAACCUACAGAGGCGAACAGAAGACUUCGAUUCCGAGGAAAUCCCUAGCCGAGACCCCGCUGUACGACUCCUUUUUCAAAAAAUCCAGAAAAUGGAGAACGACAACGCCCGCUCCCAGGGGCCAGAGUGGGGAAAGCUUCGACCGGGGCCAUUUACCAGGCGCAUCCGGGACUCUCGGCAGGAUCGGGAAGGGCAGCAGCUUCGGAUACCGUUCUAUACGGGAACGGAAGACCCCUUAACCCACCUCCACUCAUUUCAGUCCGCCAUCGGAUGCAAGGGCUUGAGCGAUGAAGGGCAGUGCCUGCUAUUCCCGUCCUCCCUUACCGGGGCAGCCCUGAACUGGUUCUACCGGUUAGAGCCAGAAACGGUAGAUUCCUUCGACGAACUGAAGCAGAUUUUCCUCAACCACUUCAUGAUUCAAACGGACCGUCUUUACUCUGCCGAUGACCUGUACACGAUUCGGCAAGGAGAGGACGAACCGUUGAGAGAGUACGCAGCGCGUUUCAGUCACGAGUACUCAAGGUGUCCGGAAACAGACGAUAGGGCAGCCUACGGCGCCUUUAAGAGUGGCCUUCGGUCCUCGCAUUUCCGAUACCUAGUGCACAGCAGCAAUUGGCGCACGUAUGGCGAACUGAUGAAACAAGCGGCCAUCCACGCCAAGGCCGAAUACUUCAACUCAAAGCCCACGGCUUCGACACCACGAGGAAACGCCGAAUCAAGUGCUUAUCCGGCAAAGGCGACACCCUACGGGAGAACCGACACAUACUCGGCAGGUCAUAAGAGAAAGGACGACCGCGCCGAUCGAAGAGAACCCUCGAAGAAAGGGAAAGGGCGGUACGGUCGCAACGACCACCGAGCGUCCCUACCGAAUCGCGACCAAGCCAAUGAAGUCUUCACCCUGUUGAACACUACCUACGAGGCCGUCCUGAUGAACGAACAUGGAAUAAUACCGAAGCUGAAUGCUCGAAGACCAAAUCGGCAAGACAACCGAGAGACCGGUAAAUUCUGCCGAUACCACCAGCACAACAGCCAUAAUACAGAAGACUGUAUAAGCCUGAGAAAAAUUGUUGAGCGAUUGAUCAGCGAGGGGAAGCUGGAUCAGUACAUCGCCCGGCCGCCAACGGCGCCGAUGUCAAAUCCGGUUCGGCAGAUAAACAUGAUAAGCACUAUUAGUGGGGGACCCACCAUCGCAGGAAUGAGCAGCCGGUCAAUGAAGCAAUAUGUGCGGGCCGCGCAGUUUCCUCAGGUGUUCGGCAUAGAGUUUAAUCGGCGCCAGGAAAUCCCGAAAGUUCGUUGGGAGCCAAUCACAUUCUGCGAGGAGGAGGAAGAAGGCAUCCUCUAUCCCCAUGACGACCCAAUGAUCAUCCGGGCAGAAAUCGCAAACUACGACGUAGGAAGAGUGCUGAUCGAUACCGGGAGCUCGGUAAAUGUGAUUUAUUCCGAAGCUUUCCGAGGGAUGGGAAUAAAGGACUGCCAGGUAAACCGGCAGUUGACACCUUUGUUGAGUUUCUCCGGGGAUUUGGUCCAACCAAUCGCCAGCGUGAAAUUACCCAUCACCUUCGGCACCGCACCAAGAAAAACGACGGUAUACGAUCAAUUCCUCAUCGUGGAUUGCCCGACGGCGUACAACGUCAUAGUUGGACGAACGGCGCUCACCAUGAUCAAAGCACAUCUUUCCCCCCACAUGCUACUGAUGAAGUUCCCAACCCCCUACGGCACGGGGGCUGUCCGGGGAAAUCAGCUCAGCGCUCGGACUUGCUAUGCCACGACACUCAAGUCAACCACUGUCCAAAUACCCGACGAGACCAUGUCUGUGCAGGGGAUACCGAACGGUACGGGACCCGUUGACGACCCCAGAGAUGAGUCCCCGACUCUACACACGCAACCUGCCGAAGAACUGGAAACGAUAACCCUGAAUGACGAGCAGCCCGAUCGUCGGGUUAAGAUCGGCACCAGACUCGCCCCUGACCUCCGAGCGCAGUUCAUAGACUUCUUGCGGCUGCAUUCGGAAGUAUUCGCGUGGUCUUACGAAGAUAUGCCCGGCAUAGAUCCUGAAGUCAUCAGCCACAAGCUCAGCAUCUCCCCUGCAUAUAAGCCUGUAAGACAGAAGCGCCGUUCGUAUGAUGCCGAACGAUACGAAGCGAUGCGCACAGAGGUCAACAAACUUCAAACCAUCGGCUUCAUCAGAGAAACUACGUAUCCGGUAUGGCUGGCAAACUCGGUGAUGGUCCGGAAAGGUACAAGCGGUUGGCGGAUGUGCCAAGACUAUACCGAUCUGAAUAAGGCCUGCCCGAAGGACAGCUUUCCGUUGCCACGGAUAGACCAGCUCGUGGACGCCACCGCGGGACACGAACUGCUGAGCUUUAUGGACGCCUAUUCGGGAUACAAUCAGAUAUUCAUGCACCCCCCCGACAGCGAACACACCGCCUUCAUAACGGACAGGGGUUUGUACUGUUACAAUGUCAUGCCGUUCGGCCUGAAGAAUGCGGGGGCAACGUAUCAAAGGCUCGUCAACAGAAUCUUCGCCAAGUACAUCGGCAACAUCAUGGAGGUUUACGUUGACGACAUGCUGGUAAAGAGCAAAACCGCCGAGGAACAUCUACAGAAUCUGUCAGUCAUGUUCGGCGUGCUGAAGGAUUAUCGGAUGAGGCUGAACCCAACGAAGUGCGCCUUCGGUGUAUCUUCCGGGAAAUUCCUCGGAUUCAUGAUCAGUGAGCGGGGUAUCGAAGCGAACCCUGAAAAAAUAAAAGCAAUCAUCGAUAUGGAGAGGCCGAAAACGGCGAAGGACAUUCAAAGCCUUACCGGACGCGUGGCAGCCUUGACUCGUUUCAUAUCCAAGGCCACCGACAAGUGUGUUCCGUUCUUUAAAGCCUUGAAAGGGGGCAAACGGGAUAUCAUCUGGACUACCGAGUGUGAUAAAGCGUUUCAAGACUUAAAGGACUACAUGGGCAGAGCACCCCUCCUGUCAAAACCACUACCGGGGGAGAUUCUCUAUCUAUACCUUUCGGUAUCUGGAACUGCUGUCAGUUCGGUAUUGGUCCGAAAGCCAGAGAGGGCAGAGCUACCAAUUUUCUAUGCCAGCAAAGCACUCCAAAGCGCUGAACUUCGGUAUCCCCCAUUAGAGCAGCUUGCACUAGCCCUGGUAGUCUCGGCACGAAGACUUCGGCCAUAUUUCCAGGCACACGGGAUCAAAGUUCUGACCAACCAACUGCUUCGGCAGGUGCUCCAAAAACCAGAGACUUCUGGCCGAUUGAUCAAGUGGGCGAUCGAACUCGGAGAGUUCGAUAUACAAUUCGUGCCAAGACCCGCCGAAAAGGGUCAAGCCGUUGCCGAUUUCAUCUCCGAACUCACCCCAUCAACGGCACAGCCAACGGCCGAGCCGGUUACCGAAACCGGAACACUAAUGGAAGUAGACGCCGAACGGCUCGACACCUCGAGGCCCGUAUGGGUUCUGCAUGUCGACGGCUCGGCAAACCAACAAGGAUGCGGAGCAGGCCUAGUACUGACAACACCAGAGGGACUCAAGAUCGAGUACGCCCUUCGAUUCAACUUCCGAACCUCCAACAAUGAAGCCGAAUAUGAGGCUCUCUUGGCCGGCCUUUGGUUAGCCAAGGGCAUGAACGCAAAACAAAUCAGGAUUCACAGCGACUCCCAGCUCAUUGUGAACCAGGUAAUGGCAGACUUCGUGGCCAGAGACGCCUCCAUGAACUCCUACCUUUCAUCCACCCACCAGCUGCUCCAAAACUUCCAAGCCUACGAGAUCAGGCAGAUCCCCAGAAGUGAAAACAGCCAUGCAAAUGCAUUGGCACGCCUAGCCUCGGCAAUAAACGAUAAAAUCGGAAGAAAGGUACCGGUGGAAAUCCUUGCCCGACCGAGCACGGUAGCCUCCGAAACAUUUACCGUACGGUACGAGGAUACAUGGAUGUCUCCUAUCUACUUGUACCUGACCAACGGCACCCUUCCAGAGGACAAGGCCCAGGCCCGAAAGCUCAGGUACCGAUCGGCAAGGUACACCGUCAUCAACGACGUCCUUUACAAACGUGGCUACACAACUCCAUAUCUCAAGUGCCUUACGGCAGAACAGGGGGACUACGUCCUUCGGGAGAUCCAUAAUGGUGUGUGCGGCGACCAUUCCGGAUCCCGAUCACUCGCCCACAAAACCUUUCGGCAAGGGUACUUUUGGCCGACCAUGCACCGGGACGCUAUCUCGCUGGUGAAAAAAUGUGAUAAAUGCCAGCUUUUCGGCGCCAUACCGCACAUACCUGCCGAACCUUUGACGCCGAUUAUGAGCCAUUGGCCUUUCGCACAAUGGGGACUGGAUCUGAUCGGUCCAAUGCCGCAGGGUAAAGGCCAGGUGAAAUACGCGGUGGUUGCCGUUGACUACUUCACUAAAUGGGUAGAGGCCGAACCUUUGGCAACCAUAACGGCAGCAAGAGUGGAAGACUUCGUUUGGACUCAUAUUUGUUGCCGGUUCGGCAUCCCGUAUGCAAUCAUUACCGACAACGGCAGGCAGUUCGAUUCGGAGAUCUUCAGGCAAUUUUGCACCCGCCUGAAAAUCAACUUGUUUUUUGCAUCACCAGCACAUCCCCCGUCAAACGGCCAAGUAGAGGCAAUAAACAAAAUCAUCAAGAAACUGCUGAAACGGCAGCUGGACAAAGCCAAAGGAGCCUGGCCAGAGAAGCUUCCCGAAGCGCUAUGGGCCAUUCGGACCUCCUACCGAACGUCCACAGGAGAGACCCCAUUCUCUUUGGCUUUCGGUUCGGAAGCCGUUGCGCCGGUAGAGAUUGGCGAACCGUCCUACCGAACGGAAACCUUCGCACCGAAUCCAAAUGAAGAAGCACUUUCUCUAAACCUCGACCUUCUUGAAGAGCGCCGGGCACACGCCAACCUUCGGAACGAGGCCUACAAGCAACGUGUCUCUCGGUAUUACGACUCUAGAGUCAGACACCGCUCAUUCCGAAUCGGUGACUGGGUCAUGAGGAAGGUGUCCCUAGCAACUAAGGAUGCCACGGAAGGAACCCUCGGAGCUUCCUGGGAAGGACCUUAUGAGAUCAUCGGUAUCCUUCGAUCGGGGACCUACCGCCUAAGAGAUACCAACGGCAAGACCCUCGGUCAUCCUUGGAAUGUAGAACAUCUCAAGUACUACUUCAAGUAACCUAGCCUACGGCAGGACAAAUUUAUAACCUAGCCUACGGUAGGACAAAAUUGUAAAACGCCUUUCGGCAGAAAUUAAUGGAAAGCCUUCGGCACUAUUACUUCAGAAACUCUUGUUAUAAUCUCUACUAGCCUACGGCGGCCAAUAUAGGCAAAAUCACGUUCUACGGCAUCUUUAUUAGCCUACGGCAAUAAAUAUUUUCGAAAUUAUUACCCUACAGAUCCUGUUAGAACUUGUCAAUUUCGGAGUAGCCUUUAAACGUUAUAAAUCCUAUACGGCAGUAAGAAAAAUCGGCAAUUGAACAAAAUCAGAUCGAACAAACAGAAGUAGAGAAAGAUAUGCAUUUAAGUUAAAGAUGCCCUCGGCAUCAAUGUGUUCGGUACAAAAACAAAAAAACAAACACUAAUUAUUACAAGGAAGUCAAAGGGGGCCCUCAGGCUUCGUCACCAGCGGCAGCCUCAGCGGACCCAGAACCUUCGGCGGCGUCCUCCCCCUCAUAAUCUUCAAUCAUUUCCUCGGUAAUCCCUUCUGGUAGAGGAGGAGGGUCGGCAAUAAAGUUUAGGUUCAGUUUCUGCCCAGGGUUGUACCGCUUGAAUCGGUACAACAGGUCCGCCAUCUCCGAGCCCACUUCCUUAUCCAGAAGGAUAGAGAACUCGGAAGACGAACGGUACCCCUGGAUAGCCGACUGAACCGCAGCCAUAAUCUCUGCGGCCUUGGCCCGUUCCGAUUCCUCCAGGGCCGCCUGCGCCGCUGCCUUCGCCCGCUCCGAUUCCUCCAAAGCCGCCUGCACCGCGUCUUUGGAAGCCUCGGCGUCCUUCGUUGCCUCGAGCGCAGCCUCCAGGAGCCCCUUCAUCUCCUCCACCUGCCGUUCGGCGGAAUCCUUCUGCUUGACAAGGAGGGCGUGCUCCUGGAGUGCUUUGUCAGCCUCGGCAACCUUGGACCUGCCGUCCUCGUACGCCUUCUUGGCGCGCUCGGCAGCAGUGAUGGCCCGCUUAACGCAGAGCCACAUAUCCAUGGAUGCCUGCACAAAACACCGAAAAUCAGAAGCAUAAAACACAGUAGGAGAAAACGACGAAGGAAGAGAAUCUUACCGCGGCCUGAAGCCGGAAGGUGCGUCCAGCCUCCUCCCGAAGGAAUUUCUUCGGCAGUUCGUCAACCUCCGGCAGCUCCAUCUGAGAGCCGAGGAUCAUGUGGUUGACGAACUGGACGGUCUUCGCCGGGCAGGCGAUGGAGAUGGCUUCGGAAGGACCGUCCUCGUCCUCCGCCGCAAGGAUGGCCCUGGGAACUUCCGGCUGGCGGGGGCGCUUGGGGGCCGGCUCGGCCUCCAGAUCGACCGUCUCCGGACGCUUGCCGGUAGCCUUGGAGGUGGCAGCCUCAGCGUCCCGAGGCCUCGGCGCAACGGCUUCAUCAGCGGUGCGUCUCGGAACGGCACCGGCAUCGAGCUGCCGAAGGCGAUCCGCGAGGGUCUGGUCCUCCGGGUCCGGCACCGACUGCCGAACGGCAGCCGCCUCGGGCUGCUUUCUUUUCUUUUUGCCCUCCAGGCCCAUCAUCAGGCGCCUCCUGGAGGACUCGUUCAUCUUUUUGGCCUCGGCAGCUUUCCUGGCGUCCGUCACUGAUCAAAAAGGAACUUAAUCAGUUCAGUGAGCCAAGACAAUACACACAAAAAAAGAGAGGAAGAGAAGUCUACAUACUCUCGGCAGGGUCGACGAGGCCGGCUUUGAUAAGGUUGCCGGUGAAGAAAAAGCGCGGAUAGACUCGCUCGGCAGCGGGUACUCGCAGCUUCACUCUGUCAAGCUGCCGGAUCUCGCUCGGCUUGGGGCUCGGCUGCUUGAGUUUGCCUGUCAAAAAGAGAAAAAUUAAUCACACCCAGAAAAAGAAAAAAAGGAGCCAGCCUACCGAUCGGUAAUUCGAAGACCUACCGGCAGUCUGGAAAGUCGUGGGGACUCGAAAGUUAGGGGGUGUUCCCGAUGGCGAUUCCCAAUCGCCGGAGAGCAACACCCGCCGAUUCCUCCAUGACUUCUGAGAAGUCGGCAUCGAACUAACGAAAUGCCCCCGCUCGGAGGCCUUCAGGCAAUUUGCCUGAACCCAGCCGCCAUGAUCGGUACUCUUGGACUUGGUGACGCUGUACAGAUACGAGAACUGCUCGUAGGAAGGCUCCCCUUCUUCGGCAAUCCCGAAUGCCGCAAUCACCCCCAUCAGGGCCACCCAGAAGUUAGGGUUGUAUUGGCCCGGAGCGUACACGAUCUGUGCAAGGAUCCUCUGCACGGCAGGUUGCAACGGCAGCCGAACCCCUUGCACGAGGACGUCGGUGAAGAAGGUCACCUCGCCGUUGGCCGGGUCACUGAGGGACUCAACCGGGCUCGGAAUCCUCAUCCUUACCGAAUCAGGGAUGAGGUAUUCGGCCCUGAUCUUCUCCAACUCCCGUUCGAUGAUCUUAUUAGGCUCCAGUUAAUCGACCCCGAACAGAGCCCUCUGAGGCACACCCACCGGUAUCCUAGGUGGCCCUCGGUGGACAAUGGUUACCCUCGGGCGGGAGGCACCGGUGAUAUCCACGCUUCGACCGGAGGUAGAGGCCUCGGGUUGGUGCUCGAACGACCCGACACGGGUACCGUCCUUGUACACCGCGGCCAAGGGUAGCGGGUGCCCCGUCAUGAGCCCCUUGCCGAUGCCAUGGGUGGGAACAGAGUCCCCUUCCUCACCGAAUAAUUCAGCAUCGGUGUCACCUCCAUCCUCGGCGGCGAGGCUCGCAGCCCCGCUGGACGUAUCCCAUCCCGAUGACAAUUCCCCAUCGAACGCGUUGGGCUCAUUGCCGAACGUCGAUUCACUAUCAGACAUCUACAAAACAAAGAAAAGGGAAACUAAGGUUCAUGCUGCACUAUCCUAAAAUACCUACAUCUCUACCUAUGGCCACUAGACUACCGAAGGAAGAUCCUACUUAACGAUCGGCUAGCCUAUGCCAUGGACAGACGUGUAAUAAAAAUUCAGGUGGGUACCGAACGGUAUCUUACCUUGAGUGCUGUGAAAGUCGCCUGGAUUACCGUUCGCACACUUCGAAAAUCGCCUGGAUUACCGUUCGCACACUUCGAAAAUCGCCUACUCAAAGAGCUCUCGCACACUCUCACAAUUGCAAAGUGAACCUUUCAUCCGGAGCAACCUCUAUUUAUAGGGAGAGCGCUGUAACGGUACGCCUCGAAAGACGAAACGGCUCAUCAAUGCGCCGCCAGACGCGCUUUUGCUCGCCACGUGUCGCCCGACGGAUGGCGUCAUUAACUGCGCGCCAGGCACAGAAGACGAAGCGCCUCUCUGCCCACUUGCCUCUCAACGUCGGCGACCCCUCGUGUCCCAGGUCAAUCCCCCCCAAACGAGCAUACCGAACGGUAGGAUAACCUCCAAACUGCCGUAGAGAACCAAAUUCCCUUUCGAAGGAUCUCCGGAAGAGAACUUGGGGGACUACUGUUUAUACCAAAAUAAACGGCCUAUUACCACCGAACGCGUGGAGGGGAUCGAUACUGAUCAACGGACCCCUUCGGCAUGCUCCCUACCGAAGCCAUCUAUCUUGGCCUCUUUCACCAUCAGAUACGUGCCAUGCUCACAAUCCAUGCCCAGAGUCCCACAUCGGAAAUAUGAGCACAGUGCACACCUCCCAAGGACUAUAAAAGGAGACCCAUAUCCCCAAAAGGAGGGGAUCAGAACUAACGGUACGCUAUCGUGUGAUCUAUCAGUUAAACCUUACUAAAUCCGUACUUACUUAAGCAUCGGAGAGCCUUCGGUCGGUACCACACCGGUACCCAAGGAUUUACCGAACGUGACCUUUUGUAGGUACUUACCCUUCUGCCGUAGAACAUCUACCGAGGAUAGUCAUCUACCGAAGGCCUAAAUCACUAAGUUGACGAAAUACGUGCAGAACCACUUUUUCGCAUCAACACUACUAAUGGAGCUUAUGAUGAUGACUUUGAUUUGCAUUUGGAUUCCUUUGACUCUUUAACUAGUCCAGAAGACCCUCCAGCAUCAUCGGAAACCCGUUGUGAUGACAACGACGGCAUGAAACAAUUCGAAAAAGCCGAGAAGAAAGCCAUUAAUUAGUGUUGAUAAAAUUUACUCUCUGUUGUAACUUGUAUGCCUAAAAGGAAUUCCUCAGGUAGUUUUUAAGCUGAGGAAAGUAGAGCUGAGAGAGAUUUGUAGAGGGCCAAAGAUUAAAGAUAAGAUAACUGUUUGUUAUUUGAUGCAAAUCAAGUUAAGACGGUACUUCAUUUUUAUAGUGGAAUUUUGUUAACAACAUCGAACUUGGAGGAGAAGUAAUCAAGCAUGUCGUCCAUUUUCUUGGUGUUGUGGCUGCUUUUUGACUUCUCUGUAUGCGACCAAAAAGAUUGUAACUUUCAUCAUGCCACGUUUUGUUGCCAUAAAGCAAAGAUUACCCAGCCAAUUAAGAAAACUGCAGCCAUCAGAGCAAAAGCAUAUAUAUAUAUAUACUUUUAUAACAAACAUGCGCAGCAUGGUUGCCCCUUCUUGUUCAUUUAAUGGAAAAAAUAAUGAUAAACUGAUAAAAAUUGUAAGGCUAACGGGAGAGAGAGCGACGGGGCGAGAAAGGUUGCAAAUCACGGAAGACAAUGCACACAUGCCGCACUAAUUUAUUGAUAUCACGUUGGUUGGCCCGGUCUAUAGUCUUUGGUCAGUCGUCCUCUAAUUUCCUUUUCAUUUGGACCAAAAAGAUCAAUUCAACCCAACAGCUAGACUUGAGAAUGUUGUACACGAUAAGUUUACAUGACACAAAUUUACACGAAAAAAAUUAAUAUUUAUAUCGGAGCUUAACGCGUUGUGUUAAAAAUGGUAGAUACUUAGACACCAAUUAAGUUAAUAGAUGUAAAUUCGCAAAUACCAAUUAUCACCCAUUAAAAAUAUGGGUAGUUUUAUAAUUUUAUAUAUCUUUUUUUUUUCCCUCACCCUUCUCUUCUCCCCUAACUCUUCUCUAGUUGUGUUUUUUUUAUAAAUUUUUUAAAGAGAUUUUUUUUUGUUUUUAAUUUUCAAUUUUAAUUAUUUUUUUGUAAUAUUUGAAAACAUAAAGAAUUUUUUAUUACUUUUUUGUCCAUGUGAAAGUCCAUGUCAUUAAAAAAUGGAUCCCAUCCUUGACACAUAAUCAUUUAACAGAUUCACCAAAUGUUUAAGUAAUGGAGGGGGUUCUUUGUAAGUUUUCGACGACUUUGAGUUUAUGUCCCCAAAAAUAGGCAUGAACUUGAAAAUGACCCCAUAGUUUGGGGGUCUUUUGUAGUUUGUCCUAUUAUAUAUUUUUAUAUUUUUUUUCUUAACUGGACCUUGAAUUAAUUUUUUUUAUUUUUUAUUUUUUAAAACAUGAAAAAGAAAACAAGAUUUGUAGGUAGUCUGAUGUACUUAUCAGCUACUAGGCCUGAUAUGAUGUAUGUUAUUAGUCUCCUUAGUCGAUUCAUGGAAGCACCAACUGUAGUUCACUUUCAAGCUACAAAAAGGGUUCUUCGUUAUUUGAAAGGAACUUCAUCAGAUUUUUCUGUUCUUUAUAAAAGAGAUAAAAGCAAGAGUUUAGUCGGCUACAGUGACAGUGAUUUUGUUGGGGACUUGGAUGAUAGAAAAAGCACUUCAAGUCAAGUUUUCAAGCUUAGUUCUGGGGCAAUUUUAUGGUCUUCAAAGCAGCAGCAAGUGGUCACUUUGUCCACAAUUGCAGCCAAGUUAAUUGCAACUGCUUCAUAUGCAUGUCAAUAAGCUGUGUGGUUAAGAAGAUUUCUCGGAGAAUUGGGGUGUGGUCAACAAAGUCCUACUUUGAUUCAUUGCGAUAACAUUUCUACUAUCAAACUCUCAAGAAAUUUUGUGUUACAUGGAAAAAGUAAACAUAUUGACAUCAGGUUUCACUUUCUUCAUGAUCUCACAAAAGAAGUUGUUGUUGAAUUGAUUUAUUGCUAGAGUCAGGAUCAUAUUGCAGAUAUAUUAACAAAACCUUUGAAGCUUGAGACAUUUGAGAAGUUGCAUGUUCUCCUUAGUGUUUGUUCAAGUUCUGAUGUAAACUGAAUAUUUGUAUGGAGUUCAGUUUAAGGGAAAGUGUUAGGAUUUUUUAAGUAUUUAUGUUUUAGUUGGUCAAGUUAGUUGUUAAUAAUCCCUAGUUGUUAGGGACAUGAGGUAGUGUUGUUUGUUAUCCUAGUUUCUAGAGGAAUCCAUUAAGUCUAGGAAUAUUAGAAGUGGAUUGGUUUGCUGCUUAAGUUUCUUUAUUUAGUUUCUUUGUAAGGUUAUAUAAGCUCAGUUUUAGAGCUUCUGUUAAUAAGAUACACUUAGUAAGGCUAUAUAAGCUUGGCGGCUACGGCUCGGCAGACUGGAAUGGGUAGACCAACUUGAAAUCAGGGUCAGUAGUGCUUGUUGACGACGAUGGGUCUGGGUCGGAGGAGAUGGUUUCCACAGUGAUGCUCCUCAGUUGAUUGGAGAAAGAGAGAUAGGGACAAAAUGAAUAUCUGUAUGUUCAGAAAACGAAAAAAUUGAAAUUGAAAAAUAACAUUAUCGUUUUCAACUUUUGUUCACAAAGUUAGAUUUGUUUUCAAAAAAUAUUUUGUGAGGGAAAACAAAAACGAUCUACCAAACGUGUAUUUGCUGAAAAUUAGGAAACAAAAACAAAAAAUUGGCUCUAAAAAUAUUACCGAAUGGGCUCUAAACAUGUAUGUGUCUAUUUGACCAUGCCCAUUUAUAUAUUUUCAAAUGGUGCGGUCCUACAAGCCUCUCUUUUUUUCUUUUUGUUGUUGGCAAGAAUAGUGUCUUGUCCCACGCCCAAAAUCAGAGUUUGAAUCUCGCCAAUUAAAAAAGAAAAAGAAAAAAGAGAAAAGCUAUAUAUCAUCAAUCAAAAACCCCUCAAUCGAACUUCUUAUUCAACACGCAAAGAUUGCCUACAAGCAUUGGAAACUAGCUUUUAUAGGUGAGGUCAAAACCCUAGCUGAGAAUAGAAAGUAAAACAAAAAUACGAAACCUCCAAAUUUACAAACAAAACAAAAAAUUGUGAUCCUCGGGUAUAUAUAUGUAUUAGUAUGGAGCAUCUACAAUGAAGCGAUAUGAUCAUUAUUUUCAGUCAGUCACAGGGCGAGCUUUCAUUUCUUGAAAAGGAGAGCAAAACAUAUUAAUCAAUGGGUGCCAACAAUAUAAAAUUUUCAAUAUUUUCCUCACAAUUACACAAGUCUUAAAGUUUUUUUACAUGAAAUACUGGAAUUUGGAGGCACAGCCAUUUCGUGCGGAAAUGGGCGGCCUGAAGUGUGGUUCCACCUGUUUCCACUCCAGAUAUUUUUCAAUCAUCCUUUUGAUUCUUGGUUGCUAUAAUUGCCAACGUUCUUCACUCAUGGAGCUUCUUCUGAUCAUCAUGAUUUUGAUCACAAGCGAGAGAGAUACAAAACAACAAAUAUAUAUGAUCACAAGCGAGAUAGAUAAGAGUUACUGGGGAAGUAAGAGACUACUAAUGGAGUUUCUGAUGAAGACUUUGAUUUGCAUUUGGAUUCCUUUGACGCUUUCACUCCAGAAGAGCCUCCAGCAUCAUCGGAAACCCGUUGUGAUGACAAUGAGGGCAUGAAGCAAUUCCAAAAAGCUGAGAAGAAAGCCAUUAAUCAGUCUAUUCAAAAAUUGCCUCUCUCUUGUAUUGGAAAAAACAGUUCCUCAGGUAGUUUUUCAGCAGAGGAAAAUAAAGCUGAGAGAGUUUUGUAGAGGGCCGAAGAUUAAAGAUGCGAUAACUGUUUGUUUGAUGAGAAUCAAGUUAAGACGUUACUUCAUUUUUAUAGUGGGAUUUUGUUGACUAGGUCGAACUUGGAGGACAAGUAAUUAAGCAAUUCAUUCAUUCAUCAGAUGGUUCCGCCCAUUUUCUUGGUAUUGAUGCUUUGACUUCUUUUUGUACGACCAAAAAGGUUGCAACUUCCAUGAGGCCACGUUUUGUUGCUGCAAAGUAGAGAUUGCCCAGCUUAACUUGAUAAUUUUGUCGAUUGUGAGAUUCCUAUUUAAAAAGAUGAUAGUAUAUUAAUCUCACACUCACUAUAUAGAUGUUGGUUUGAACUCAGGAUCUUUUAUAGGAGAGCAAUUGUUCCAAACUACUACAUUAAUAAAUCCUUCGCUUUUUUUUUUUAUACUUAAUUUUCCUACUUGCCCUUUUUUUAAAUAUUUGUUUUCCUUUUACCGAGUAAAAAAUAAUUAACACUCUAUAUUGCUCAAUCUAGACCUAAUUUCUGUUUCUCCAGACAACGGAGAAAGUGAUGAAGAUCACAAAAUUCAGGUCAAAAGAUGCCUAGGUAGCUACAUGUGGUAACAUGAGAUGAUAUCAUAGAAGUUUGUAUAUAUUAGGCACCAACAUUAGCUUGCAGGAACCAUUUAAUACAGUAUAUUGCCUAGGUGUCUAUUUGACCAUGUCCUGUUGUUAUAUUUUCAAAUGGUGUGGUUCCUACCUACCAACCUCUCAUGGCUCUUUUUUUGUUCUUUUUUGGGUUUGACCACUAGAUGAUGUUGGUAAGAAUAGUUUUUGUUGAGUUGUAUUCUAGCUAGUUUUUCUUUUGGCUCUUUGACAGUCUUGUAAUAGGUCAUGUAAUGUAUACCCAAACUCAUAUAAUGACAUCUUUGUCUGGGCUAAUUUUUUUAAUUUUUUUUUUUCAUGGCAGAUCUACCACUCAUCUUGGCUUGAUUGUAAAACCUCAAUACCCACAAUCCAGACCAAGAUGAAAUAGACCCCAAAAGAACAUAUUUCACAUGAUUUUUCUGUCAACACAUGCGAAUUCGUGGCAGUUCAAAGACUCGCAUACUAAUUGUUUCACAACAAAGUUUAUUUGAAUAGAUACAAACCUAUGAUGUAAAUUACAUUGUGUAAUGGCUAUCCAUGCCCACAGACCUUCCCUGAUGAUAGUAUUUAUGAAUCUUUCUCUGCAUCCAUGGCCAAAGACCUUCCUAGCUGAAAGAAAAUGAGAAACAUUAAAAUAAGGCUGAAAGAAAAGAGGAUGGUGUUAAGAGUUUUAUAUAUAUGUAUAAGCCUUAUAGAUGUUAUAGUUUUUUUAAAUUAUAAUUUGGUUUCUUUUGUGCUGUAAAGGUUGGCACAAAUCACAAAAUUCUUUUUCAUUAAAUCAUGAACCAACACCUGAAAAGUUUGUUUGCAGAGGUGUGUCUGUGUGUAGAGAUUGGUUGCAUUGAUGGGCUUAUUUCCACCUAAAGUGGUGGGCUAGUAUUUGAUUUACCCUAGUUUGGCUGGUAAAACUAAGCCUAUAUGCGAAAAACAGAAAAACAGCACUGAGCUGUAGUCAAGUUGAGCCUACACAUAGUUUCCAAUCCAUUGGUCUGAAAAUUAGGGACUGAAAAACAUGACAAUAUGGGGCGAAUUGGGAAUGGGUAUGUCCUUCCCAUCCUCAUCCUUAUUUAUUUUUUUUUCCCAUCUUAGUCUUCAUACCCGUAAUACAAAUUGGGGAUUCUCCAUUCAUUAUAGACAAAGAAAUUUUGGUGCAAUAAAUUCCAUUGGACAAGAAAAUAAUUAGGGUUCGGUGGAUUAAAUCGUGGGCCCCGUAAUUCGUCCAUGUGGCGUGUGAAUCAUUAAAAUCAAAUUAGUUGUCAAAAAAUGACACAUGGCAACAUCUGACGAAGUGUAUCAAACGGUUCAAGAUGAAGACAAGAUUAAAGGAAAAAAUCUUCUGUGAUUGACUUUGAUUUAAAUCAAAUAUUAAUCAGGUCAAUCAAUUGAAGAUAAUCUGGUUAAAUUGCCAGAUUAUGGGAAUUGAUUUAAACUAAAUCAAAAUCCCACAAAACAAGGUUUUAAAUAGGGAAAGUUAUUUAGGUCAAGCAUCCUACAAGAGCCUAUAAAUAGGAGGCCUCAAGACGAAAGAAGGGGUCAGAAAAAACUUAGCACUCAGAAGAAACAUAAAACUCUCUGCAUUCUGUACCCUACUUUAGAAGAGCCACCAAGCACAACAAAUACGUGCCGGUUCCUUCACCAUAGAAAAAUCCCAAACACCAAACAAGCUUCGUGCUACCCGUUUGAUCAAAAUCAAGUCUCUACAACCCUUGUAUCAAACACAAAUUUUCUUUAAACACUUUGGAGAUCGAAUCAGAGGAUUCAAUACAGAGAUUGUUACCAUAAAUUUCAUAAAUACAAUAUUAUUUUGUACACAUGUUCUUGUCUCAUUUGUCGCAGAAAAUUCGUGUUUACAAUAGGGGAACAACUUCUCCGCCCUACCUCAAUAUGGGGAAUAUAUAUUUUGGUGGGAGUCAUGAGACACACCUAGAAGUAACAAUAUAUCCAUAUAAAAAAAUAAAUAUACAUAUAUUAUUCUAAAUGAGGCAGGUUCAGAUUGGAUACUGAUGUCCUUCAUGAGGACUGUAAACCUUAGUUUCCUUUUGUAUUAGUUAUUUCCUCUCAAUAUUAUAUUGACGCCUUUUUAAAAAUAAAUAAAUUAGUUAAAAGAGAUUUUAAGUUCAAAUUGUUACUCUCAGUUGUUAAAACGAAGUACUCAUUAAAUAGUGAAACUCAUGAAAGGCAAAUAUAGCUGCUUCUGGGCAGUUUUAUUACUUGAAUCGCAAUCAAAUUAUCAACACCCAAACCCUGAAUUUAAAGAAGAAAUUAACAAUCAAUCAUAUCGUACUACACACAAUUGGCUUCUGUGUGUAUCCAGGCCAACUCCUCAUCUAUUUACAGUAUUAAGUAGGCAUACUCAAAUUCAAAACUUGCUUUUCUUGCACGCAGAAAAACAAUCACAAUCACAAGAGAGAACGAUAGGAAUUAUGGGGGAAGUAAGAAACUAUGAUGGGAGCUCCCGACGACGACGACGACAAUGAUUUUGAUUUGCUUUUCUUGGAUUCCUUUAAAGAAGUAGCUUUUGCACUGCCUCCUGCAUCAUCUGAGACCUGUGAGUUUGACAAUGGCAUGAAGCAAUUGAGAAUGGGCGAAAAGAUAGCCAUUUGUUUGUAAGAAUAGUGGAAAGUGGUGAAGGCUGAUUGUGUGGGUUUAUUUAGACUUGAGCGGACAUGAUCAGGAUAAAUGUCGUCCUAUAUUUAUAGUGAAAUAGAAAUGAGACUUUUUAAUCAAAAAAAAUAAAUGAGACUUUGUCAAUUAUCUUGGAGGCGAAGGAAGAUUUCAAGACCAUAGAUCAUUAAUUUUACAUCGAUGGUUCCGUGUUCC
rnacentral:lncRNA from 1 species